GGAGGCAGCAGUGGGGAAUAUUGCACAAUGGGCGAAAGCCUGAUGCAGCGACGCCGCGUGAGGGAUGACGGCCUUCGGUUGUAAACCUCUUUCAGUAGGGAAGAAGCGAAAGUGACGGUACCUGCAGAAGAAGCACCGGCUAACUACGUGCCAGCAGCCGCGGUAAUACGUAGGGUGCGAGCGUUAUCCGGAAUUAUUGGGCGUAAAGAGCUCGUAGGCGGUUUGUCGCGUCUGUCGUGAAAGUCCGGAGCUUAACCCCGGAUCUGCGGUGGUACGGGCAGACUAGAGUGCAGUA
rnacentral:rRNA from 1 species